rnacentral:rRNA from 1 species
CCUACGGGGGACUGCAGUGAGGAAUAUUGGUCAAUGGGCGAGAGCCUGAACCAGCCAAGUCGCGUGAAGGAUGACGGCCCUACGGGUUGUAAACUUCUUUUGUCAGGGAGCAAUUGGGUCCACGCGUGGGCUUAGCGAGAGUACCUGAAGAAAAAGCAUCGGCUAACUCCGUGCCAGCAGCCGCGGUAAUACGGGGGAUGCGAGCGUUAUCCGGCUUUAUUGGGUUAAAGGGGUGCGUAGGCGGAAUAUCAAGUCAGCGGUAAAAAUUCGGGGCUCAACCCCGUCGUGCCGUUGAAACUGAUGUUCUGGAGUGAGCGAGAGGUAUGCGGAAUGCGUGGUGUAGCGGUGAAAUGCAUAGAUAUCACGCAGAACUCCGAUUGCGAAGGCAGCAUACCGGAGCCCAACUGACGCUGAAGCACGAAAGCGUGGGUAUCGAACAGGAUUAGAUACCCUAGUAGUC